rnacentral:rRNA from 1 species
AACGAACGCUGGCGGCAGGCUUAACACAUGCAAGUCGAACGCCCCGCAAGGGGAGUGGCAGACGGGUGAGUAACACGUGGGAACAUGCCCAAAGGUACGGAAUAUUCUCGGGAAACUGGGAGCAAUACCGUAUGUGCCCGAAAGGGGAAAGAUUUAUCGCCUUUGGAUUGGCCCGCGUUGGAUUAGCUAGUUGGUGGGGUAAAAGCCUACCAAGGCGACGAUCCAUAGCUGGUCUGAGAGGACGACCAGCCACACUGGGACUGAGACACGGCCCAGACUCCUACGGGAGGCAGCAGUGGGGAAUCUUGGACAAUGGGCGCAAGCCUGAUCCAGCCAUGCCGCGUGAGUGAUGAAGGCCCUAGGGUUGUAAAACUCUUUCGUGGGGGACGAUAAUGACGGUGCCCCAAGAAGAAGCUCCGGCUAACUUCGUGCCAGCCGCCGCAGUAA